rnacentral:rRNA from 1 species
AGCUCCAAUAGCGUAUAUUAAAGUUGUUGCGGUUAAAAAGCUCGUAGUUGGAUUUCUGUUGAGAAUGGGCGGUCCGCACUACGUGCGUGUAUCUGUUACAGUCUCGGCAUCCUCUUGGAGAACAGUGCUGCUCUUAAUUGCGUGGCCUGGAAUUCAAGACAUUUACUUUGAGGAAAUUAGAGUGUUCACGGCAAGCAAUCGCUUUGAAUACAUUAGCAUGGAAUAAUAAUAUAGGACCUUGGAUCUAUUUUGUUGGUUUCUAGAACUAAGGUAAUGAUUAAUAGGGAUAAUUGGGGGCAUUCGUAUUAACGCGUCAGAGGUGGAAUUCUUGGAUUGCGUUACGACGAACUACUGCGAAAGCAUUUGCCAAGGAUGUUUUCA